ACAGGAUGGGAAUUUCAAAAGUCUUUAUAAGCCCUUGCACAGCAUUUUUGUGUGUCUUCCUCCUUUCCUGCAUGUGAGGCGAGCACCCUGUUGCAACAGAUCAAUAAAGAUCAGGCUUACUAGCUGCUUUGCUUCUCAAUAUUCUCUGGUUGGCCUCUGUUAUUUUCUUCUACCAAUAGGGAACCUAUGUAAGGACUCUAUAUGGGCUCUUGGAUACCCCAUAAGGGAAAAGGGCAUAUUUUUAUUUACAACACCAGCAUUCCUGAGCAGUGGCCAUGUUGUCUGGGGGCUGAUGGGAGUUUGACAGCAGCUGGAGGACCUUUGCUUCCUCACCCCUAGCCUAAGGCAGAUGGGGAUUCUUCAUGUCGAAGAAUACUGACCUAACAGCAGCUCUUGGGACAGAGGUUGUGUGCCUGUCUUUCCUUCUCAUUCUUCUGCAAGCCUUCCAGCGUGGCUCGGUCAUACUCGUGACCCUGAUCAUUCCUGUAGCGCUUGCAAGAGCAAAUCUGUGACGUUUGAGGCCUCCCUCUGCUCUGUCUUGGGGGUGAGGUUAUAGAAAUCUCAAACAAGCGUUUCCCAGGAGAAUCGGGUGCGAAGAAGGUGUAUCUGCUGCAGUUAGAACAGGGCAAGCUGAGGGCACUGAGACUUUUAAAACCAUCUUGCAGUCAGUCUUAAGGGGUCUGGUCAGCCGCAGGGCUGUCUAAUCUGGAAUCUGUUCCCAGUGGAAAUGAAAAGGAGUUUAUACAUCUCUUUCAAAAAGCAAACUAGCAAAACCCUUUUUGUUUUGAAUGGGUGCUUUUGUUGGACGAGAGAAUCUUUCUUUAGUUGCUGUCCUGGGUGCAUUCAUUUGAACCGAGUGGAAUUUGCUUCUGAGUAGGGAGUGCAUCUGCUCAGACUUUGCGUUUGGAUUUGGAGAGGCUUGGGUUGACAGUCGUUUCAGAGGGGUGGCAAAAGCGAGGACUCCUGAGAUCCUGAAUGGGGUAACUGUGCCCCUGAAGGACCAGGUGCGCAGCCUGGGAGUGCAGGUCAAUACUGUGUCCAGGGCAGCUGUCUACCAGCCCCAUCUGGUACGCUGGAUGAGCCCCUCCCUGCCCACAGAUUGUCUCGCUAGAGUGCUUCAUGCAAUCUCCCGCUUGGACUCCUGCAAUGCACUCUACGUUGGGCUCCCUUUGAAGGUGACCCAGAAACUACAACUAAUCCAGAAUGUAGCAGCUAGACUGGUGACUGGGAGCGGCCGCCGAGACCACAUAACACCGGUCUUGAAAGACCUACAUUGGCUCCCAGUACGUUUCCGAGCACAAUUCAAAGUGUUGGUGCUACCUUUAAAGCCCUAAACAGCCUCAGUCCUGUAUACCUGAAGGAGCGUCUCCUCCCCCAUCGUUCUGCCUGGACACUGAGGUCCAGCACCGAGGGCCUUCUGGCGGUUCCCUCACUGCGAGAAGCCAAGUUACAGGGAACCAGGCAGAGGGCCUUCUCGGUGGUGGCACCCGCCCUGUGGAACGCCCUCCCACCAGAUGUCAAAGAGAAAAACAACUACCAGAUUCUUAGAAAACAUCUGAAGGCAGCCCUGUUUAGGGAAGCUUUUAAUGUUUGAUGCAUUACUGUAUUUUAAUAUUCUGUUGGAAGCCGCCCAGAGUGGCUGGGGAAACCCAGCUAGAUGGGCAGGGUAUAAAUAAUAAUAAUAAUAAUUAUUGUUAAUUAAUGAUUACUGUUGUGGGAGAGGAAGGGAAAGGAGAUUGUUAGCCGCUUUGAGACUCCUUAAGGUAGUGAUAAAGCGGGAUAUCAAAUCCAAACUCUUCUCUUCUUCUUU